GUGGGUGGCCAGCAAGGUGGCCAGCCAGUGAAUGGUACCCUCAUCAUGACCCGAAGCUGCUGAGGAAGUGGAUUACUGCAACAAAACGUCAGGGAGAAAAGCAAAGGACACGGAAGCCCUCUCGAGAGUGCACUUCUAGGCAGUUACCACUUCAUGGAGGCUGAUUCUGAGCCAUACGGUGAACGCAGAAUGCUGCGUGAGGGAAGGAUCCCAUCAUGGUUUAGGUUCCCGGAGCAGACAAAACCAGUGGCACGCAAAAGUCCCCAAAAGCGCGUUAGCCCAUGCACAACUCCACCCUAGCCAAAGCAUCCCAGGCACCUGCUUCUCGGGCAGCCGCACCAGCCCGUUCCAGAGGAGGCUGCGGCUGUAAGGUGUGUCGACGUGUAAGUCCUGUGCAUUAACGUUGUCAAUAGUACGGUAUAUAUACUCUGAAUAACAUGAUAUACUAUGCGCAUAUCUCGGUGCCUACACAGCUCGCAGGAGUGCCGAGCCGACGGUGCUGGACAUAGGUUAUAUUUUUGUAACGUACCAAAUCGAAACAUAAGCUCUGGUCUUAUCCGAGUGUGGAUGUGGACAGAUCUGUUCUCUCACGCAGGUGAACAGCACGCAUGUAGUGCAUACAAAGGGAUAACCAUGGCCUGAACUCCAGCAACACACCGGGGCAGUUACUUCGCGCAUAAACAACGACGCAAAAUGAAAUCAGAAGAUGCAACAGCUUGAGACCUGCUGACUCCAUCAUGAGCCAUAUAUUGAUAUCUGCAAGACCACAAAUCCUGCAUCCACCAGACUUGGAACAGGCUGUGCUGUGACCUAGCUAUACAAUAGAUCAUGCAUGUGAAUGUGGGAAAUAAAGUGCGGGAAUGAUAAAUGGAAUCGUCUUUGAAUGCCAGGAAGUGAAAAACUAGAAGAGAAAUCGCACCGGUCUGCCAGUUAGCGAAGAUCUCACUUUGUACGCCUUACUCAGCCCUUCUCAAAAUUGAAAACCAAUUCACCCCCUCAACGAUGAACCGCACCGAUGGCCAAUGGUGCAGCGUACCGCGACAAACAACCGUAAACACAAUACAU